AUUGAACGCUGGCGGCGUGCUUAACACAUGCAAGUCGUGCGGUAACAGGCGUAGCAAUACGUGCUGACGAGCGGCGAACGGGUGCGUAAUACAUGGGAAUCUGCCUUUUAGUGGGGAAUAACCCGGCGAAAGCCGGGCUAAUGCCGCAUAAGAUCUUCGGAUGAAAGCGGGGGAUCGUAAGACCUCGCGCUGAUAGAUGAGCCCAUGCCGGAUUAGCUAGNGGUGAGGUAACGGCUCACCAAGGCGACGAUCCGUAGCUGGUCUGAGAGGACGGCCAGCCACACUGGGACUGAGACACGGCCCAGACUCCUACGGGAGGCAGCAGUGGGGAAUAUUGGACAAUGGGGGAAACCCUGAUCCAGCGACGCCGCGUGUGUGAAGAAGGCCUGC
rnacentral:rRNA from 1 species